UAGCUGAUGCAGUCUACAUUCUGAUCUCUGAAAGUCCUUUAUAACUAGAACUUGGGAUGAUAUUUAUGCUGUAAUAAUAAUUGACAACUGAGCUAUAUAUUCCUCACAUACUUUCAUUUCAAUGCCAAACAAACUGAAUGAUGAGGAUAUAUUGACAUAUUUAUUAAUAAAAAUAUAAUGUCCUGUGAAUAGUUAUUGAAUAAAGAUUUCUACAUAUUAUGAUGGCCCAACAGUUUUCUUACAUUGUCUUUAAAAAACUUGCCUUGUUCUAUAUCAUUGUGAAGUAGUCACUGUAUAGCAUCAUGAGCAAACCUGUUUAUAAAUAUGAACACUGCACAAAGGAGCUCUAUAAACUGUUCUGCCAGGUAGCAGGUGUUUAUGACUUGCUGUAUUUAAAAUAUAUUGUUUUUAAAAACUUAAAUUGUUAAUGAUUUCUUUAAAAAUGGCUUGCUUGCUUGGAGAAAAGUGAUUGGUUAUGAACAUUAUUAGUCUGGUUUUAGAUACUGUCUGCAAACGGCCCCAUGACUUGAUUUAGUCAGAGCUGGCCACAUCAUGCAGUUGUGACAGAGGAUAAUUUCCUCUAGUGCAUGUCAUGCAUGAUGAGUUUGGUGAAAGUAUUAUUAGAAGGUGUGUUUUUCUUGAAAUGUUCUACUGUUACAGUGAAGGUGUAAGAUACAGUGUUAUUUGUAAACAACUCAAGUGUAAUGUCUGCAAUACACCACACAGAAGCAUAAUCACUGUCAAAAUGACAAGACAACAUCACAGAAAGCGGCGGCUGGAAUUGACUGAGGUGACAAUCUGGUUCUGAAACUGUUUUGCUCUGAUUGCAUAUUCAUGAUUCCUUUCUAUAAUAUGUUACAGUUACUGUGUGAGUCUUCUAAGCAGACAUUUUAACAUGACUAGACUGACACCUCACACUUUGAGAUUUGAAAGCCUAAUCUUCAACACUGCUCCUUCCACCUUUUUCCCCCAAGGUCUAAAUCUUGACUUGCAGGUUUAGUUAUGAGAUACAUCCACGUGCAGGAGUGCAGGAGUACAACAAACUGUGGCACCCGUGCUGCUGCACCAGGGAUGGUGAUUUACUGGUACAGCAGGACCCUGGUCUGACACCACACAGCCGACCCAACACGUACCCAUCAGUGACUGCUGAACACUCAUGAGUGUAGCUGCAAUGGGGAGCUGAGGUUAGAAUAAUUUAUCAAAAGCUGAAGUUCUAUGUAACAACAUUCCUGAAGACUUUCCAGAUUGUAUCAAUACGUAGCCAGUGGUCCAGAAGGGAAAUGACUAAGAGGAAUUUAUGAAACGUGCAAAAAGACAGAUAAAUGAAUUGCACUUUUAUUUCAUAUUAAUUCUCUCCUUUUUCUCAUCUCCCUGUUAACUGUACACAGAAAAGUUUUAACUUGAUCUCAACGCAAAAGUAGAAAAGGUGGAUUUUAUAAUUAAAAAUAACUUGUGCAAUCAAGAACUACUAGUUCCUAUCCCCUACCAUUAAUGAAGAAUGGAAAUAUAUACUAUAGGAUGUAAUUCAUGUCUCAAAGGCAUCCCAAAUGAAUCCCAAAUUUACUGUUGCUUUGUCCAAUUACCACCUUACAUCUGACCUUUCUCAAAUUUUUCAGUCUUUCCACCAUUUUAUUAGGUGCUACUGCCCAUGUUUUCAUGGCAGAAAACACAGAAAUCUUACAUUGGCUAAUCUUUCUCUCCAUGCAGUUCACAGCUAAAGGCCAUCAUGCAACACAGUCAUAUGGAUUUGAGUAUUUUUUGAGUUAAAUAUGCUUCUGAGUGAAAGAAGAGAGGGGCCUCUCUCUGCAGAGUGGACAAUCUUGCAAAGAGCUGCGUAGACAGCUGAAAGCUGACUUUUAUGCCUGAGGGACAGUGACCAGGAUAACAGGCCAAUUUCCUUUUGCUCUCCUUGUAUAGAACAUCUGUGUUUGUUCAACUCAUUGAGGAUGAAAAUGUUGCAUGAGUGGAGUAUCUGCUGUAUCCAAGAUUAAAGAAAGAGGUCAUGGUAUUUUGACAAAGCUAGUCAACAGCAAACCUAGACUUUUCAGACUAGCUCACCUGAAUUUAAGGUAUUUGCAGUGAGUCAACCAGACAGAGAACAUUGUUGAGUCUGGUCCUUUAAUGGGGAAUAAUUCACAUUGCAACUUCUUAGACUGUUGUCAGCAUUUCUGCAGUACUGAAUCAGCCUGAAGCAGCUGCUGUAAAAGUAUCCAACCUACCAGAAAGUGCAUUUUGAUGUCUUCCUAAAUGGGAGCUUCCAUUUAAAAGCUUGGGUAGGAAUACCAAAGGCUGGUCCCUUCAUGAGGUGGCAUGUGACCUUCCAAGUGUCUCCAUGCCCUUCCCAACUCCCAGACCCACCAGCAGCUAAAUAGGAAGAGUGAAAUCACCCAAGGCAGAGCUGAUCAAGCCUUGCUGUUGUCAGGGGGAAGGCACAAAGUACUUUUCAGUCUGCUUACCCUCUGCUGCAGAGACCUGCCUCAUCUUUUGCAGGUGCUGUGAAUCCUCAGAGAGCUCUGGGUCCAGCUGACACCUCUCUUGUUCACACAAACCAGAGUGAUGCUGUGCCACAGCCUGCUGCAGUAACUCUUCCACCAGGUGAGGGGGCAGACAGCCCCUCAUAAUCCCACUGCUGACCUUGUUAAAAACAUAAGUUCUCUUUCAUUACGCACGGCCCAGAAAAUAUUUGUGAUCAUGCAAAUUUUGGAAGGGGUGUCAAAAAGGAAGAUAAUUUUUGUAAGACGAAGAAAAAGUUUUGCAAUUCCACUGCUUUUUAAGAUGUCAUACAUUUGCACAAAGCCUUGUAAAUUUUCUAAUUAUACCUGUAAAGUUUCUUCUGUUAGUGCUAAUACCUUUAUCAAUUUUUAACAUACACUGGUGCUUUCUUGAAUACAAUAACAGCAACAACAACAACAGCAAACAUGGUAAAAUGCAGUUUGUUAAAAAUUGAAGUGUUUCAUGGAAAUUUUUCCUUAAAAAAAGUGAGAGAAAUUAAAGUCUUUGAGCACAUUUUCAGUUUUCUUAUGUCAAAGCAUUUAAUUAAUAUCAAAACAGUUUUUCUUCAAUUUAUAGAGUACAAUAAUGUGCUAUAUGUGUAUAAAAAUAAUGUUACUAGAUGUUAAGUGUAUCACCCUUAGAGUUUUAUAAUAAAAGGGGAACAAAAUGUUUUAAUGAUGUUGGCAAAUACUUAGAUAUUAUUGAAAUUAGUAUUUUGGUUUUUUAAUUUCAUGGUAAAUUUCUUUUUUCAUGGUAAAUAUAUUUUUUUUUUACUUUUGACUUGGAUAUGAAGUAAUAUAUUUCUACUAACUGCUAGGAAUGUCUUCAGAACACAAAUUUAAUAUUUAAUGAGUUUUCUUCACCUUUUUAUGGAGAAGUAGCAACACACAUUUUCCCACAAGAUGGCAGAGGUGAGUUGUGAAAUUUGUGGGCAAGGAUGUAUGGAGACGUGAAAAUCUGAAAAAAAAGAAGCUAGAAGCUUGAUAAAGCAACAAGAAUGAGGAUAUUAUGAAGCCACAGGGAAAAUUCCAGCUUAGAUUCACUUUUUGGUGACCAAACAGAGCAGCAUGUAUUUUAUUGUAAGAUUAUAUACCAUGACUUUCCGAUUGCAAGCCAAAAUUGGCUACAAGAUCUAAUUACAGUUAUCUAAGAUCUUAUUUUUCUUUUAAAUGAAGUGUUUUCAGAUACAGAUUUCACUCUCAAAUACAUAUUUUUGUAUUAAUAUGGCUGAAAAGUGUUCAUAUAUUGUCUGCUGUUAACUAAGUAGUAAGAAUCCACAAAUCAUUUUACAAAAAAAAAUUGAAAAGACAAUAAGGGAGAUUUAUCCCAUAUGUGGUGAUAAAUAUGUAUCAAAAACUGUAUUUUAUUAAUAAUAUUAAUUAAUAUUUAAUAUGCCACAUCACGUUAUACAUCUCACCCACAAUGAAAUUAAAACCGCUAUAAGUAAUGCAAUACUUUAGAGCAGAGCUGCCAUAAAUAUACAUGUUUAAUCAUGAGAGGAAAUAUCCAUCAUCAGUGGGCAUACAGUGAUCUUCCCUGAUCCUAACUGAGAAAUAGAAACGUUUUUCACACUACCUUCAUAAAAAUCCUGCAAUUCUUUUUAUUAUGAUUUAAUUAAAAAAAAAAUAAAAUAAAUAAAAGGCUGUGUUUUAUCCCUGUUUUGUACUAAGCAGACUGUGUGUCUGUCUCUCUGCAUACGUAUGUGUGUGUCCACACGUCCCCCAAUCUCCCCACCUAUUUCCAGCUUUCCCAUCCCUAUAUCCCAAAAGGAUGUUGGGGAAAAAAAACACCUGUAUGGGCGAUUAUGAAUACAACUUUACAUGGUAGUGGAAAGAAUGACCAUUUUGUGGAGACGUCGGUGCAGAGUGAGUGUCUCUCCGUGUGGUGGGAGAGCGCAGGAGACAAGCCCAGCUUGCUGUCUGCAUGGUUUAGGCCCUGCCUAAGUCACAGCUCUCUGCUGGGGAAUGUGGAUUUACUCGAGGUAACGUAAAGCCAAGAUUUGCAUGAGGAAAUGGCUCAUCCAAAUGGAUCCCAGCCCAAGUGAAGAACGGCCAUCCCAAAGCAUGGCUUGGCCCCAUCCAGCACACGCCGAUAAAGGAUCACACCUGGAUACUCGUGUCUUUCCAAAGCAUGAGAGGGGCAGCUGAGGGUGUCUGCUCCACGACGUGGCACGGAAUUCUGGCUGAGACAGACUCUUGCUGUUUUCUCCUGACAUUCUCGAGUUCCUACUUUGCAGCUUUCAGGUGGGUUUCCAGCAAGGUGGUAUCACCCUGCCUGCACAAGCAAGGAGAGUUAUCACACACCUCAAAGCCAGCAGUGCAGCAAACUUGGGAGGAGAGGACUGACUGUCUCAGCUGCUGUGGGGGGAAGCAGAAGACACAUGGUGGGCUGCAGGGGACAGGAAGAUCUUGCACUGAGUCUUCGUAUAAACUUAAGUUUCCCCGUCUGUCCCUCAACUGCUGUUACUCUUUGAGUGUUUGAAAGUACUGUGGUUUACAGAAAAGCAUGUUUUGAUGUCAAAACCGCUGUCUAAUUCAUCUCCCCACAGUUGAACAAAUAUGGAUGUUGCUUCCCUAAGGCCUUCAAAAAGAAAUUCCAGUGGGAAGGGCGUCCACAAGUCACCAAAAAUUUUCAGCCUUAAGUGUUUGAGUGCUUUUGCUAAUCUUUAGCAUAGCUUUCCUAAACAAUUAUUAUUUGUGUCCAUAAUUUGGAAUUUGGUUUGGAUUUUUUCACCUUUGACCAAGUUCUAAUCUUCUUUGCAAUUGCUACGUCAAUUGAAGGCUUUGAAAGCUGAUUUUUAUUUCCUGUAGUUUCUUGGUUUUGACUACAACAGCUUCUUUUACCUUCAUGAUAUUUUAUGGCUUUCCUGAUUUAUGCAAACUUUUGUUAUCUCCAUUUACUAAGAGGUAGAUUCCACCUCUGCUGAAAUCACCAAGGGCUGCACUAUUCUCACAAAUUAAAGUUAAAUAAAGUUGUGAACACCCUUAAGAUAAUUGAUGCAUCAUGUCAGUCUUACACUGGCAAAGGCAAAUAAGGUGCAGACUUUACUCUUGCAUCUUGGUAUCCUUUACUUAUAACUGCAAAUGAACAAAAGUGACUGUCAGGUAUUUUUAUGUUUUCAAAAUACUUUGUUGCAACACAGAUUGAGAUGACUUUGUUUGUUCAAGUGAAAGCUUACUUUACAGAUGUGUUUUUUGGCUCAUUACAGUUUCAGGUUGCCACUGUUUGGAUGUCUCAAAGAGGGAUGUGAGGAAUCCAAUUCCCAUAACACCACUGUAAUUAGUACAAAUCAGAUCCACAAAAGUAAAAUUCAACUUGGCUCCUGAAAUCAGUUGUCUGCAGGAACUACCAGAGAAGCUGAAAUUAAAAAGAAUUUGGCUAAAAUGUGUUCUCAGUUUGCUUCUGUAGUGGUAUUAUCUUUUUGAUGUAGGAUUUAUCUUAUCCAAAUACAGGUUUCCAAAUGGAAACCACUAGUGCUCAGUGGUAAAUAAGAAAUGUUCUUACCUUUUCCAAGUGCUCUCUACCACAUCCUGAAAAGUUUGAAAGUUUUACUUCUGUUGUGAGUUGAUUUAAACUCUGUUGACUGCACUGUCAUGGAAGGAAGACGCACUCAUAAAAAGUCACCAUAAAGUUUCAUUUGGAAACAUGUUUUUUAAAAAAAAUCUGUAUUUCUGACAAACUUGAUACCAUUACCACUUUGUGAAAGUCAAAGGAUGUAGGAAUAGGAAUGACUUUUGUGCUUUUAAAUUUUUCUAAUUGUGAAAAGAAAGUGUAGUUCACAUAUGGAAUUUCAGGUUGUUUGCACUGUCUCAGAAACAUAUGGUAGCUUGCAGUUAAGCACAACAGAGAAGUGGAAUUGGCAUGUUCUUCUUUCAAAUUUCUGGUGAGAAAGCUGGAUUACAAAUUAAAGGGAAUGGUAAUUAAAUGAAUAAUAUAAAAAUUGUUACUUUUAAAAUUCUCACAUGCAUGUACAAGAACAGAAAUUUCUUAGCUUUCCACAUUUUUUACACAUUGGAGAAUAAUAUUGUCUUGUAUGUAUUACUCUGUAACUCUCAAAAAAAGCAAUUACCCUGUAACUCCCAAAAAAGCAAUAUGCAGAAGUGUCAAUAAUUCAUGUUUGUAUAUCACUUGGUUUUGGAAAGAAGAAGUCGUAGUCUAGAAUGUAAGUCAGGUCCAAGUUGUAAAGAAAAUAAACAAAUUAAUUUAAAGCAG